rnacentral:rRNA from 1 species
GACGAACGCUGGCGGCGUGCUUAACACAUGCAAGUCGAACGGAAAGGCCCUGCUUUUGUGGGGUGCUCGAGUGGCGAACGGGUGAGUAACACGUGAGUAACCUGCCCUUGACUUUGGGAUAACUUCAGGAAACUGGGGCUAAUACCGGAUAGGAGCUCCUGCUGCAUGGUGGGGGUUGGAAAGUUUCGGCGGUUGGGGAUGGACUCGCGGCUUAUCAGCUUGUUGGUGGGGUAGUGGCUUACCAAGGCUUUGACGGGUAGCCGGCCUGAGAGGGUGACCGGCCACAUUGGGACUGAGAUACGGCCCAGACUCCUACGGGAGGCAGCAGUGGGGAAUAUUGCACAAUGGGCGGAAGCCUGAUGCAGCAACGCCGCGUGCGGGAUGACGGCCUUCGGGUUGUAAACCGCUUUCGCCUGUGACGAAGCGUGAGUGACGGUAAUGGGUAAAGAAGCACCGGCUAACUACGUGCCAGCAGCCGCGGUGAUACGUAGGGUGCGAGCGUUGUCCGGAUUUAUUGGGCGUAAAGGGCUCGUAGGUGGUUGAUCGCGUCGGAAGUGUAAUCUUGGGGCUUAACCCUGAGCGUGCUUUCGAUACGGGUUGACUUGAGGAAGGUAGGGGAGAAUGGAAUUCCUGGUGGAGCGGUGGAAUGCGCAGAUAUCAGGAGGAACACCAGUGGCGAAGGCGGUUCUCUGGGCCUUUCCUGACGCUGAGGAGCGAAAGCGUGGGGAGCGAACAGGCUUAGAUACCCUGGUAGUCCACGCUGUAAACGGUGGGUACUAGGUGUGGGGUCCAUUCCACGGGUUCCGUGCCGUAGCUAACGCUUUAAGUACCCCGCCUGGGGAGUACGGCCGCAAGGCUAAAACUCAAAGGAAUUGGCGGGGCCCCGCACAAGCGGCGGAGCAUGCGGAUUAAUUCGAUGCAACGCGUAGAACCUUACCUGGGUUUGACAUGGAUCGGGAGUGCUCAGAGAUGGGUGUGCCUCUUUUGGGGUCGGUUCACAGGUGGUGCAUGGCUGUCGUCAGCUCGUGUCGUGAGAUGUUGGGUUAAGUCCCGCAACGAGCGCAACCCUUGUUCACUGUUGCCAGCACGUUAUGGUGGGGACUCAGUGGAGACCGCCGGGGUCACCUCGGAGGAAGGUGGGGAUGACGUCAAGUCAUCAUGCCCCUUAUGUCCAGGGCUUCACGCAUGCUACAAUGGCUGGUACAGAGAGUGGCGAGCCUGUGAGGGUGAGCGAAUCUCGGAAAGCCGGUCUCAGUUCGGAUUGGGGUCUGCAACUCGACCUCAUGAAGUCGGAGUCGCUAGUAAUCGCAGAUCAGCAACGCUGCGGUGAAUACGUUCCCGGGGCU